GAUGAACGCUGGCGGCGUGCCUAAUACAUGCAAGUCGAGCGAACAGACGAAGAGCUUGCUCCUCUGACGUUAGCGGCGGAAGGGUGAGUAACAGGUGGAUAACCUCCCUAUAAACCUGGGUUAACUUCGGGAAAACGGAGCUAAUACCGGGUAUUAUAUUCAACCGAACUGUUCAAUAGUGUAAGACGGUUUUGAUGGCACUUAUAGAUGGAUCCGCGCCGCAUUAGCUAGUUGGUAAGGUAACGGCGUAACAAGGCAAAGAUGCGUAGCAGACCUGAGAGGGUGAGCUGCCACACUGGAACUGGGACGCGGUCCAGACUCCUACGGGAGGCAGCAGUAGGGAAUCUUCCGCAGAGGGCGAAAGCCUGACGGAGCAACGCCGCGUGAGUGAUUAAGGUCUUCGGAUCGUAAAACUCUGUUAUUAGUGAAGAACAAAUGUGUAAGUAACUAUGCACGUCUUGACGGCACCUAAUCAGAAAGCCACGGCUAACUACGUG
rnacentral:rRNA from 1 species